rnacentral:rRNA from 1 species
CCUACGGGGUGCAGCAGUGAGGAAUAUUGGUCAAUGGACGCAAGUCUGAACCAGCCAAGUAGCGUGCAGGAUGACGGCCCUCCGGGUUGUAAACUGCUUUUAGUUGGGAAUAAAAGUGGGCUCGUGAGCCCCGUAUUGUAUGUACCAUCAGAACAAGGACCGGCUAAUUCCGUGCCAGCAGCCGCGGUAAUACGGAAGGUCCGGGCGUUAUCCGUAUUUAUUGGGUUUAAAGGGAGCGUAGUCCGGCGUUUAAGGCAGUGGUGAAAUCCCCGCGCUCAACGUGGGACCUGUCUGUGAAACUGGCAAACUGGAGUGUGUGAGAGGAUAGUGGAAUUCCAGGUGGAGGAGUGAAAGCCGUAGAUAUCUGGAGGAACAUCAGUGGCGAAGGAGACUAUCUGGCACAUAACUGACGCUGAGGAGCGAAAGCGUGGGUAGCAAACAGGAUUAGAUACCCCUGGAGUC